rnacentral:rRNA from 1 species
GGAAUUUUGGACAAUGGGGGCAACCCUGAUCCAGCCAUGCCGCGUGCGGGAAGAAGGCCUUCGGGUUGUAAACCGCUUUUAGUCGGAAAGAAAAGGCACGGGCCAAUACCCCGUGUUCUUGACGGUACCGGCGGAAUAAGCCUCGGCUAACUACGUGCCAGCAGCCGCGGUAAAACGUAGGAGGCGAGCGUUAUCCGGAGUUACUGGGCGUAAAGCGCGUGUAGGUGGUUGGAUACGUCUGCUGUGAAAUGUCCCGGCUUAACCGGGAGGGUGCGGCAGAUACGGUCUGACUAGAGGGCGACAGAGGAGCGUAGAAUUCCGGGUGUAGUGGUGAAAUGCGUAGAGAUCCGGAGGAAUACCAGUGGCGCAAGCGGCGCUCUGGGUCGCAACUGACACUGAGACGCGAAGGCAUGGGGAGCGAA